rnacentral:rRNA from 1 species
UGUUGUAGCAUUAUGACACCAAGAGUGACGCACGGGUGCGUAACACGUAUGCAACCUACCCUUUACAGGCGGAUAGCUCGGGGAAACUCGAAUUAACCCGCCAUAAUAUAAUUGGAUGGCAUCAUUUGAUUAUUAAAUCUUUGGAGGUAAAGGAUGGGCAUGCGUCUGAUUAGUUAGUUGGUAGUGUAACGGACUACCAAGACGAUGAUCAGUAGGGGAACUGAGAGGUUGAUCCCCCACACUGGCACUGAGAUACGGGCCAGACUCCUACGGGAGGCAGCAGUAGGGAAUAUUGGUCAAUGGGUGAGAGCCUGAACCAGCCAUGCCGCGUGCAGGAAGAAGGCCUUCUGGG